GUGCCAGCAGCCGCGGUAAUCCGUAGGUGGCAAGCGUUGUCCGGAUUUACUGGGCGUAAAGGAUGUGUAGGCGGAUAUUUAAGUGAGAUGUGAAAUCCCCGGGCUUAACUUGGGGGCUGCAUUUCAAACUGGAUGUCUAGAGUGCAGGAGAGGAAAGCAGAAAUCCUAGUGUAGAGGUGAAAUGCGUAGAGAUUAGUAAAGAUACCAGUGGCGAAGGCGGCUUUCUGUACU
rnacentral:rRNA from 1 species